rfam:Canis lupus familiaris chromosome 36, whole genome shotgun sequence.
GUGCUUGCUUUUGCAGCACAUAUUACUAAAAUUGGAAUGAUAGAAAAGAUUAGCAUGGUCCCAGAGCAAGGAUGACAUGCAAAUUUGUGAAGUGUUCCAUAUUAAA